rnacentral:lncRNA from 1 species
GGCAGCAAUAUAGGAAACAUAUAAUUAAAGAGAUGACAGGGCUGACGGCCUUCAUGUAUUGCCAGAACACCGUUAGCUUUACCGUUCCCACUUCUGUGGUUUCUGCCUGGAUAAGUUUCUCAUUAGGGUUUCUUCUCGGCAGAGGAGGCUCAGCUGGCUUCUUUUCAGCGACUCUUCGUUUCGUUGACAUUUUGUUGGGACACUCUCCUCCCUCAGAAGAUAUUACACUAAGUUGCCUAGUCAAAACAACGGAGCCAUUAGGAGAAAAAGGGCACACUGUGGCUGUGAUGGGCCAAGAACAGGAGGCAGCAGCUCGGAGUCAUGCCCAGCUCUUCUGCUCAGUUCCCACUCCCAGAUACGGGUGGUGCCUGUAUGACCCCCACGGAUGUACAGCGAUGUUCAGUAACAGCAGAAACACCACUGCUUCCAAAGCCCAUGGGGGGCCUGGACACGCUGAUACAGUCACUGGAGCCCUCAGCACAAGCCGGGCUUUCCAAAGCUG